rnacentral:ribozyme from 1 species
UUUUUGUUUCUUUUGCUUGCACUUUCUUUCGCUGCUUUUUUUUUCAUCAUCAUCAAAACAACUCUUCCUCACCUCAGGUCAACUACUAUAUAGAGACAUUUAUAGAUAGUACAGUCGGUAUUGUUGUACCAACAGCAACUCACAAAAAAGCAAAUAAAGUAGUUUAGCAUCAACGAUAGGAUAGAAACGGAGACAACGCAUCAAAUCAUCUUUGGUUCCUUCAGUUGCAUUUCUUGAGUCACAUAGAUAGUUGAUCAAUUGAUCGGAAGGUAGUAACGUAACAAAGAG